AAGGUGGACCUCAUGUGAUGGACAAUUAACAUUGAUGGUCGGCUCCACAGCCCCACAUGAUGGAUGUCUUACAUCAAGGUGGGCCCAACAUAAUGGGUAGUUCACAUCAAAGGUCAGCCCCUUAUGAUGAAUGGUUCACGUCUAAGGCAAGCCCCUCAUGAUGGAGGCCUGCUUGGAAGUUGGGCCCUACAUGACUGCUCACCAUUGAAACCUUCUUGGGACCUAUAGAAGUCUUGGAUUAGGCUGAUAUUUGUGUUUUUCUUCAUCCUGGUGGGAAUCACCUCAUGGAUUAGGAUGAUAUUUGUGUUUUGUCUUCAUCUUGGUAGGAAUCACCUUACAGAUCAGACUGAUGCUUCUAUUUUACCUUCAUCCUGGUGGGAAUCACCUCAUGGAUGAGGCUGAUAUUUGUGUUCUACCUUCAUCCUAGUGAAAAUCACAUUAUGAAUAGAUGGCAAACAAAAAUCACAGUGAGCCCUAGAAAGGUCUCGAUGGUGGGUGUUUCCAUCUCCACUAUUCUUUGUGGUGUAGCCCACUUAUUUUUGAAUCUGCCUCAUUUUUAAGCUGACAUACUAACAUUAGCUGGCGAAGGAUAAAGUGUAUUUCACAUGGACAUCAAGGUGUGCCGCAUAGAGCUUUUGAUACACAGUCCUGGGAAAGGAAAUUCAUGUCUCACUAUGAUCAUGGAUGGCCCACUUUAGUAGUAAAAUCUAGGCAUUAAAAGGCCAGUAUUCCUACGAAGCUGUCAGUUUCAGGCAAUAGGUUUCUAACCGUAGCCUUUUGGUUGGUACUGUUUUGUCCUCGUAUGAAACUUGGAUAAUCUUGCUUUGAAAUCCCCUUUCAAUAUCCCAACGCAUGGAAACCGCCACAAUUACAAAAUAGGAAUUGAAUUUUUUGUUGAUUCAAGGUGUGUUUGGCAAACUGGCAAUUCUGCUCAAUUUGGCAGCAACCCCAUUGAGUUCACUUCGUCAAUUUGAAAAAAAAAAAAAAAGGGAAUUCAGGACUGUUGUAAACAGUGGAAAAGGAAAUUGUAAACAUUAAAGAAUAGAUUUCUUUUACCCUGAAAUUCUCUCAUCCAAACGCACAACCAAUUUGGAUAAGGAGAUUUACAUGAGAAAUCAAAUCACAAGUAAUAUGUAUUAGUUAUCCUCCAUUUCAAUUGCAAGAAUAUGAUCCAAUGACAUUUCUUAUAUGGUGGAAAAAGAAAUUUAUCAUCAUUACAGAAUUAAUUUAUUUUACCAUGAAAUACUCUUAUCCAAACUGACCAAAAGGUUAGAUCUUUGAACAUCAAUAUGCUGAUUAGGCAGGAUGAGAUAAAAAUAAAAUAAGACUCUCCAUCAUAACCAAUGGUUCAGUGCAAUUAAUGCAAAUUUGUUGUAGGUGGUCCAACGCACCUGAGACUAAAACCACCUUUGACUAUGUUUGAUUUUGACAAAAUGGCAACUACGGAGACAUGUAUCUUCAAUCUGUUGAAAAUAAAGCCAUAUUCAUAAUUCGUAUGGGCUGUUUGGUAUACAACUGAAAAUGAGAUCAUCUCAUUUUAGUUAAUUGUAAUUUUGUAGUUGAGAUCUUUUUUUUUUAAAGGUAGAGGCCAUGGUAGAGGCUAACAUCCGUAUGGGCACUUGAUUUCUUGAUUUCUUUGACCUCAUUCAGUCACACAAUUAAAUUAUAACUAAAAUUUCUGUUUUUGUUGUCACUGGGGGUGCUUAAUUGGUUCCAGAUAAGAGACGAUGCCAAGAAUGAUUUCUAUGUCCUGAAUCUUACUGGAUCCAGCUAAAUAUCUUUUUUCUGUCCAUACUUAACUGCUCUCUGCUUCUUGAUUCUGCCUAUGAAUAGUCACCCCUAUCUGCUCUCUCUCUUUUUCUUCUUCUUCUCUUAUAUGUGAAAAAGAUUAGCCCUCUUAAUGCUAGAUAACCUACAUGUAUCUUUGUCCCAUUUUGCUACUGUAUUCAUUGCUUUCAGAACCAUCAAUCUGAGAUUAGUAAUAGCAGUUAACCAGAACUAGACAACUUAACUUUUUGCUUGGGACAUACUUUAGGGCGGAUUGGAAAAUGUAACCUUUUCUUGGGAUAUACAUUAGGCUAAAGAAGAAUUUCCAUACAUCACGAAUGUGGAAAUAGAAUACAACAAUUCGCAUGAGAAGAGUUCAACAAGGUGAAUUGUAGCACGAUGCCAACAUGGCACUUGUGUCAAAUCCUGGUCAGUUUUUAAGUGGAGACAGCCAUGAACAAACCUCAUACAUUAAUCAGUGCAAUCCACUCAUCAGGUGUUCCUAUCAUCAAAGGCUCACAUACAAUGUACAGGUUUGCCUCACUAGAUGGAUGGACCAUCCUGGUUGUUGGAACAAGAGAUGUUUGCAUUGAGCCUCUCUUAGUGCAUGGCCUGGAUCUUUCACACGUGUGUCAUGUUGUUGUAUGUGCCAUUAUCCUCUUCUUCUCUGCAUUCUCCAUUUGGGCAUGAGGCUUUGACAUAAUUUUCAUCGGGUUUAGGCUAUAUAAUUCAUUUUUCACACUGUAAAUGAUGGGGAAAGGGUUGAACACAAAUUGUUGAGUUUGGACUUUUGGAUUGUUGGUUUGCAUCAAUCUCCAUGUAAUGGUGCUCUGUCAAUGAAAGAUCAUGGGUAGAGGUGGAAGCUAGCUCAGCAUCUAGCCAUUUUGGGGAGUGGUCUAUCUACACCAAAUUUGGGUUACUGAGCCAUGGAUCCCACUCGUAAGAAUUGAAAACCUGGGAAUUCUGUGCAAAGUCUAAGGUUGAGAAUCCUAUAAUACCUUGAGAGCCGUACAUGAACAAUUUGUAAAUGAUCUCACAUAUUUUCUUAUAUGCAAGUUCCUUUCCGAUGUCAUUCACGUUGGUUUUUUUUUUUUUCCGUAAUUUAUACACAUCAUAUCUUUUAUUCAGCUGGUUGUUUAUUCAAGUAAGAUUUCAACAAAGAUUUGAAUCAUCUUCCUCAGUUACAUUUAUGCACAUCAUAUCUUUUAUUUAGUUGGUUCCCUUUCUAUUGAGCCUUGUCAAAAAUUGAGAUCAUGUUCAUGCCAGCUUCCAUAGAUAAAAUCUGAUUUUUAUAUUUUUCUUCUUGCUUGUGCCAGGCCAAGUGUGAAGAGCUAGUAGCCACGGUGCAUAUAUUGAGUGAAGAGAAUCAGGUCCUUGGGUAACUUGGAGAGUGAGACUUUCAAAUUGAGAAGAUUCGUUUGUCAUUGUAGUCUUGGAUUUUUGUUGAGUUUGAUCCCGUUCCACUAGCAAGUGCUUGCUUUCGUCGCGUGGGUUCAUGCUGCUUGCAUGCAUGAUGGCAAAAAAGUUGUUGUAAAGAUUCUGCUAAAGUGGAAUUGAUAGUGAAUGUGCUACACAGGUGUUUUCCAUCAUUUGAUAAUAGGUUCAUGAUUUCAAACAUAGUCCAGAAGCACAAGAGAGCCGGAAACGUGAUUUAGAAAGAUUGAUGCAGGAUCAGGAAUCCAUGAGAAGCUCUCUAUUGCAGUGGUGUUAUGCUAGUUAUGGGGAGGAUUUGAUCAAUUUUGCCUAAAUUUAUGCCCACAAGCAUAGAAGUCUUUUGACGCUAGCUAGGAGUGGACCAUAUAGGGAAUUUUUUUUAAAA